ACUCCUACGGGAGGCAGCAGUGGGGAAUAUUGCACAAUGGGCGAAAGCCUGAUGCAGCGACGCCGCGUGAGGGAUGACGGCCUUCGGGUUGUAAACCUCUUUCAGCAGGGACGAAGCGCAAGUGACUGUACCUGCAGAAGAAGCACCGGCUAACUACGUGCCAGCAGCCGCGGUAAUACGUAGGGUGCGAGCGUUGUCCGGAAUUAUUGGGCGUAAAGAGCUUGUAGGUGGCUCGUUGCGUCGGGAGUGAAAACCCGCGGCUUAACCGCGGGCCUGCUUCCGAUACGGGCGGGCUAGAGUUCGGCAGGGGAGACUGGAAUUCCUGGUGUAGCGGUGGAAUGCGCAGAUAUCAGGAGGAACACCGGUGGCGAAGGCGGGUCUCUGGGCCGAUACUGACACUGAGAAGCGAAAGCGUGGGGAGCGAACAGGAUUAGAUACCCUGGUAGUCCACACCGUAAACGUUGGGAACUAGGUGUGGGGUCCAUUCCACGGGCUCUGUGCCGCAGCUAACGCAUUAAGUUCCCCGCCUGGGGAGUACGGCCGCAAGGCUAAAACUCAAAGGAAUUGACGGGGGCCCGCACAAGCGGCGGAGCAUGUGGCUUAAUUCGAUGCAACGCGAAGAACCUUACCUGGGCUUGACAUGUUCGGUCUACCUGCAGAGAUGUGGGGUGCUUUUGCGCCGUUCACAGGUGGUGCAUGGUUGUCGUCAGCUCGUGUCGUGAGAUGUUGGGUUAAGUCCCGCAACGAGCGCAACCCUCGUUCCAUGUUGCCAGCGCGUUAUGGCGGGGACUCAUGGGAGACUGCCGGGGUCAACUCGGA
rnacentral:rRNA from 1 species